rnacentral:rRNA from 1 species
UUUUCCGGUUGAUCCUGCCGGAGGCCACUGCUAUGGGGGUCCGACUAAGCCAUGCGAGUCAUGGGGCGCCUUGCGCGCACCGGCGGACGGCUCAGUAACACGUCGGUAACCUACCCUCGGGAGGGGGAUAACCCCGGGAAACUGGGGCUAAUCCCCCAUAGGCCUGAGGUACUGGAAGGUCCUCAGGCCGAAAGGGGCUCUGCCCGCCCGAGGAUGGGCCGGCGGCCGAUUAGGUAGUUGGUGGGGUAACGGCCCACCAAGCCGAAGAUCGGUACGGGCCAUGAGAGUGGGAGCCCGGAGAUGGACACUGAGACACGGGUCCAGGCCCUACGGGGCGCAGCAGGCGCGAAACCUCCGCAAUGCGGGCAACCGCGACGGGGGGACCCCCAGUGCCGUGGCAUCGCCACGGCUUUUCCGGAGUGUAAAAAGCUCCGGGAAUAAGGGCUGGGCAAGGCCGGUGGCAGCCGCCGCGGUAAUACCGGCGGCCCGAGUGGUGGCCGCUAUUAUUGGGCCUAAAGCGUCCGUAGCCGGGCCCGUAAGUCCCUGGCGAAAUCCCACGGCUCAACCGUGGGGCUUGCUGGGGAUACUGCAGGCCUUGGGACCGGGAGAGGCCGGGGGUACUCCUGGGGUAGGGGUGAAAUCCUAUAAUCCCAGGAGGACCGCCAGUGGCGAAGGCGCCCGGCUGGAACGGGUCCGACGGUGAGGGACGAAGGCCAGGGGAGCGAACCGGAUUAGAUACCCGGGUAGUCCUGGCUGUAAAGGAUGCGGGCUAGGUGUCGGGCGAGCUCCGAGCUCGCCCGGUGCCGCAGGGAAGCCGUUAAGCCCGCCGCCUGGGGAGUACGGCCGCAAGGCUGAAACUUAAAGGAAUUGGCGGGGGAGCACUACAAGGGGUGGAGCGUGCGGUUUAAUUGGAGUCAACGCCGGA